CCAGGGGUAUGUCAAUUGUCAUUGGGGGUACGUGAAUAAACAUGUAAAACAAUUAGCGCCGGACGCUCACAAUUACGAGCGCACCUGAACGCCUCAUACCACAGAGCGCACCGUCAUAGCAGAAAGAAGGAAGAAGACACGGCAUCAAGUUCUUCAUUGCUCUGUGUGGGUUGUAUGAAUAAGAAGGAAAAGGGGGGGGUGACAGUGAGGACCUACGGGAUAUGAGGUCAAAGCUCUUCUUCUCCUCAGGAUUGUGCUUCACCUGACAGGUGAGCAGGUUGAGUUUGGCUGGAGGCCUGUUUGCCUGUAGGAACGACAGAAAGCAAAGGAGAGGAGCCAUUUAAAAUGGCCGUCUUAAGAACAUCCCGUAACUGUGUCAGCUGUUUCCGCUCCUCAUCCUGCGCCUGCUUUAUCUGCAGAGAAACAACAUUCAAGGAGAGAGCGAGGGAAUAAGGUGGACGUAAAUGAAUGCGGUGUCAGGUCUCCUUUCAGCAGGCUGUCCAAUGGGAAGGUGAUGAUGUUGUUCAUGUUUUGGAACUGGAGAACCGAAAGAGACAGAUUAACAAAGUAGUGGAUGAUCAGGGUUUUUUUUUUUGGUGUUUCAGUCAAUCACUGCAAAUAAUAAACAAAAUGUUGCAGCUUGGAUCUCAUUAUGAAGUAUCAUUUGAUGCAGAGACUAAAUAAUAUAAGUUUUAUUGGCACAAAUUCAUGUUCAGGAAAAAAGCUCUACUGCAAGUUAGCGAGUUGCAUUCAAAGAUAGCUUCAGGUUGCACAGUUGGAAAAGCUUCAGCAUCCUGGUUCGACGGCAUCUCACAUUUCCUUAAUAUAAGGUAUCAUGGAUACAAAAUCUCAGUGGAAGUUGAAACAAUGUGCAUGAUGGAGUCAAGUUUGUCUAUAAUAGCUUUGGACGGGAUACAAAAGGUGCUUUUAGUGGAGGAGGAUCAGACUUGAUUACAUCAAACUGAAAUUAGAUGUCGCAGUGGCUUGUUGGCCGCCUUAGUGGAAAACUGGAGCUUCCUGCUUAGACAAUGUGUGUGUCGUUGAACUCCAGGGGAUUGAGACAA